GGCGCAAUGGCAGAAUGGUUAUGCAGCGGACUGCAAAUCCGUAAAUGUCGGUUCGAUCCCGGCUUGCGCCUCCA
rnacentral:tRNA from 1 species